UUCUCCCCGAAAGCUAUUUAGGUAGCGCCUCGUGAAUUCAUCUCCGGGGGUAGAGCACUGUUUCGGCUAGGGGGCCAUCCCGGCUUACCAACCCGAUGCAAACUGCGAAUACCGGAGAAUGUUAUCACGGGAGACACACGGCGGGUGCUAACGUCCGUCGUGAAGAGGGAAACAACCCAGACCGCCAGCUAAGGUCCCAAAGUCAUGGUUAAGUGGGAAACGAUGUGGGAAGGCCCAGACAGCCAGGAUGUUGGCUUAGAAGCAGCCAUCAUUUAAAGAAAGCGUAAUAGCUCACUGGUCGAGUCGGCCUGCGC
rnacentral:rRNA from 2 species